rnacentral:piRNA from 1 species
CUUAGACUGUUAAAUAGAGUAGCU